rnacentral:rRNA from 1 species
UUAUUGGGCGUAAAGGGCUCGCAGGCGGUUUCUUAAGUCUGAUGUGAAAGCCCCCGGCUCAACCGGGGAGGGUCAUUGGAAACUGGGGAACUUGAGUGCAGAAGAGGAGAGUGGAAUUCCACGUGUAGCGGUGAAAUGCGUAGAGAUGUGGAGGAACACCAGUGGCGAAGGCGACUCUCUGGUCUGUAACUGACGCUGAGGAGCGAAAGCGUGGGGAGCGAACAGGAUUAGAUACCCUGGUAGUCCACGCCGUAAACGAUGAGUGCUAAGUGUUAGGGGGUUUCCGCCCCUUAUUGCUGCAGCUAACGCAUUAAGCACUCCGCCUGGGGAGUACGGUCGCAAGACUGAAACUCAAAGGAAUUGACGGGGGCCCGCACAAGCGGUGGAGCAUGUGGUUUAAUUCAAAGCAACGCGAAGAACCUUACCAGGUCUUGACAUCCUCUGACAGGCCGAGAGAUAGGACGUCCCCUUCGGGGGCAGAGUGACAGGUGGUGCAUGGUUGUCGUCAGCUCGCGUCGUGAGAUGUU